UCGAGUUAGGGUCUUCUAGGCCUGACCUCCAACCCCAUGUUUAAUUUACCUGUUGCUUUGGCGGGCCCGUCUUCGGACCGCCGGCGGUCUUUGGACCUCUGGCCUGCGCCUGUCAAUAGCCCCCUUCAAAACUCUUGAUCAAAUGUGAUGUCUGAGUUAAAAUUCAAAUUAAAUUA
rnacentral:misc_RNA from 1 species